rnacentral:tRNA from 1 species
GCCGAUAUAACUCACAAGGUAGAGUAGCGCAUUCGUAAUGCGAAGGGUAUAGGUUCGAAUCCUAUUAUCGGCA